CAGCAGCCGCGGGAAUACGUAGGGUGCAAGCGUUAUCCGGAAUUAUUGGGCGUAAAGAGCUCGUAGGCGGUUUGUCGCGUCUGCUGUGAAAACUGGAGGCUCAACCUCCAGCCUGCAGUGGGUACGGGCAGACUAGAGUGCGGUAGGGGAGAUUGGAAUUCCUGGUGUAGCGGUGGAAUGCGCAGAUAUCAGGAGGAACACCGAUGGCGAAGGCAGAUCUCUGGGCCGUAACUGACGCUGAGGAGCGAAAGCGUGGGGAGCGAACAGGAUUAGAUACCCCUGUAGUCCCUGUCUCUUAUAC
rnacentral:rRNA from 1 species